UACGUAGGGUGCAAGCGUUAAUCGGAAUUACUGGGCGUAAAGCGUGCGCAGGCGGUGAUGUAAGCCAGAUGUGAAAGCCCCGGGCUCAACCUGGGAACUGCAUUUGUGACUGCAAGGCUAGAGUACGGUAGAGGGGGAUGGAAUUCCGCGUGUAGCAGUGAAAUGCGUAGAUAUGCGGAGGAACACCGAUGGCGAAGGCAAUCCCCUGGACCUGUACUGACGCUCAUGCACGAAAGCGUGGGGAGCAAACAGG
rnacentral:rRNA from 1 species